rnacentral:lncRNA from 1 species
CCUUGCUGGAAACAGGCCACAUCCUCUAUAGCAGGGAAAGAAAGAGACUAUUUCCAGAUGACCUUUUGCAGGCACAUCAGCUGAUAGCAGAAGACCCUUCUGCCUUGGAAUCAAAGGAUGAGAAGAUGGAGACAUAGGAAAUAAUGGAAUUGUUGCUGAUAGCAGAUUCAUGGAAUACAUUUGUUUAAUCAUUGAAAUUAUUAGCAGCUGCUCUGGAGAUAUAAGGAUAGGGUCACCGUUUGUUGUCCAUAUCAUUCUUCACAGAGACCACAGUGGAAGAGGUUCCUUUCCUCAUUUCACUGGCCACAACUCCUGGAUAUCCUGGAUUGGAUUUCCUAUGACUUUCAACCUUAAAUUAUACCCCAUCGAAACUCUAAUCAAGGUAAAGAUAAAAUAAAGAUAUUUUAAAAAUCAUAAGCAAUCAAAGUAUGUAUUGCCUUCUUAGGAAGAUUCUAGAAUAUAUUCUCUGAUAUAAUAAGGUAUUAGGCCAGUAAUAAAGAAGACACAGAAUUAAUGAGAGGGGAAGGAAACAAAGAAAAGGGGAAAAAAGAAAUCAAAGAUGAGAGUAAAAAGAAGUCCAAGCUUAAAUUUAAGCAGCCACCCUAGGAAACAGUCAGUCCAAUUGGAGCAGGGCAGAGGAAUCAAGAAUGGGUAUUUCAGGGAAAAAACAAAAAAAAACAAAAAAACAGUAGUAGUAAAUUACCAGUGUUUGUCUGUAUUGUGGAAAAGUUCAUGCAAAGGCAGAGAGGAAGAGCAGAGCCCAAGAUGUUCAAGACAGGGCUAGUGUGUAGCAAGUAAGUGAUGUGGACACACACAGCCACUUUUCCUGCUGGUUUCCCAGGUAAAAUCAAAAGGCCCUCAUGCCAGCCAGGCGCAGUGGCUCACUCCUGUAAUCCCAGCACUUUGGGAGGCCGAGGCGGGCAGAUCACGAGGUCAGGAAAUCGAGACCAUCCUGGCUAACAUGGUGAAAUCCCGUGUCUACUAAAAAUACAAAAAAUUAGCCGGAGGUGGUGGCAGGCGCCUGUAGUCCCAGCUA